rnacentral:tRNA from 1 species
GCCCGGGUGGCGGAACUGGCCAGACGCGGGGGGCUUAAACCCCCCUGGCCCGCAAGGGCCGUGCGGGUUCGACUCCCGCCCCGGGCA